AUUGAGCUGACGAGUCUCAAAUAGAACAAAACGCUCGUCCUGGAU
rfam:Schistosoma mansoni strain Puerto Rico chromosome 2, complete genome